rnacentral:rRNA from 1 species
AUUGAACGCUGGCGGCAGGCUUAACACAUGCAAGUCGAACGAGUGGCGGACGGGUGAGUAAUUCUUGGGCCUCUAGCUUAUGGAGGGGGCUAACUACGGGAAACUGUAGCUAAUACCGCGUACCAUAGGAUGAGCCCAAGUGGGAUUAGGUAGUUGGUGAGGUAAAGGCUCACCAAGACGACGAUCUCUAGCUGGUCUGAGAGGAUGACCAGCCACACUGGGACUGAGACACGGCCCAGACUCCUACGGGAGGCAGCAGUGGGGAAUAUUGCGCAAUGGGGGAAAGCGGACGGAGCAAGGCCGCGUGAAUGAAGAAGGCCUUCGGGUUGUAAAGUUCUGUCGGUAGCGAGGCGUUAACUACAGAAGAAGCAACGGCUAACUCCGUGCCAGCAGCCGCGGUAAUAC